CCCUGGUUACCACUUGAAAUCUCUUCUGAGAGCUGGCUAGAAGGGGGAACCGUGCAUGGAUUAACCAGAUCUGACACCAUCGUUUUCCUUCAACUGCAGGUCCUUCUGGAAGACAAGGACAGAGGGGACAAGCUUGAAGAGAAUGGAGUCAUUGUUCCUUCAGAUCCUUCCUGAACAACGCGCUUGAGAAGGAAGAGAUCACUUCCAGUGCUAGACGUGAAAGCCCAAAGACAAGGACUUACACGAGAGUUACAAGACACAGGUCCCAGGCAGUGAGUUCAUAUUCGAUGCCUACGAUGUCCUUGGGAGAAUGCAAGCCCUGAGCAUCCAGGAAUGAACACAAUAGACCCUCUGCCCUUAGGGAGCUCACAAUCUUCCUGGUCUUCUUCUCUGGUGAGUCUUCCCUUUGCCCUUCCAUGUAUCUGUCAUCUUGCAAUAGGCACACAGAUGAAAUCUUCACCCACUACUCACACCAUCAGCUACUACCAAUCACAGCCUUCCUUUCCUGCCUCUGACCUCCUGUACCCCUUAUUUCUAGGGUGACCAAACCGGAACCCUUCUGAGUGAAAGGGAGGGCUAUUAAUAAUUAUGCUGAGAUAACAGAUACAGACAGGGCAAGCUAAGACAUGCAUGGACAGCACUCUGUCCAACACAAUUGGCUUCUUCCUCCUCUUCUCCUAUUCUCUGCCUUCAAUAUCCUACCCUCUAACAUUGAAAGAACACUCUUAACUCUGGCCAGAUCCCAGCACCCUCGUAAAUUACGCAACGCUGAGCCCUUGGCCUUCCAAGGCACCUCAGAAAUCAAAAUGAUUGUUAAUCACCCCAUUAUAUUUUUGAACGCUAAAUGGUGUGAAAAACAUUCCCUUUGUCUACGACUCUGCCCUCCUCGGGUCUGGCAGAGAGCUCGUUUUGAUCUUAUGAAACACAACACAGAAGAUAUUGCACCUCAUUUGCUUUCACUGUUGAAGGGAAAUCUAAUUUCCUUUUUAAUUAGUGGGAUGAACGUGUGAAAACAUUCAUCUCCUCCACGCGGUGCUCCUCGGUGUCAUGUAAACAAUGGGCACAAGAAAAUAAAUCGCAGUGGCUUCUUUUCUCCACGGUGCCCAGGGAGGGCGCCCCGGCAGCGGGCCAUGUGUAAAAUGAUCUUUUCUCGAUAGCUGGCCACACUCUGAGAAAAACAUCUCUUCUCUUUAGGGAACACUUCCAACCAAAGUGGGAUGAGUGUCCUGUGACAAAAAAACAAAGCAAACCUUGGCCAUUCACCCAGAGAGGAACUUGGUGGCCUCAGAGAGGAGAUAGGAGGAGGGAGGAGGAUGUGUGUGUGGGGGGGUUGAUAUUAAUUCAUCCAAGAGCCGAGCGUUGAGCGCUUUUGUUUAGUUGAAUCAACUUGAAGGCCUCCACGCGCACAAUGGGGAGGUUUGAUUUUCAGGGGGAAAAUGUGGUACAGAGCCACGGGCUAUAAGGAUAUGAUUUCGAAAGCAGAGGGUUCCUUCCAGAUGCAAAGGCACGCAGGCAUCAUCAUCGCCCUCCUUUUAUGCACAGAUCUUUCCAAUAAUCACCUCGUGGGGUGUUUACAUGACAACUGCCUCACGGAGCCAUCCCACGUCUAGGUUUGCCUUUGGGGAACCAAUUAUGUGCUGCUGGCCUAUCUGUACCUCCUCUCCCCACCCCCACCCCAGCUCCCCUGCUUCAUUGUCUGUUUUCAGCUGGUAUUCUUUUCUGGUUGAAUGGCCGCAAACACAAGCUGUCUAUCUCCUCCAGCUCCUGGAGUUCGGCUUGGCAGAUGAAAAUAACCUUGGUAAAGGAGCUGUUCAGAACACAAGGCCCUGCUCGCGGCCACCAAGGGCAGCAGAGGCCCAAGUAGAAAGUCAAAUCUGCCAUUGCCCCAAGGAGCACCCAUUGUAUAAACAAAACAGACUUUCACUUCUACCACCACUUCCUCCCAAGAAAAGCAAGAAACCGGUUUUAGACUUCUGACUUCUUUUCAAAAUGGAAACAACUUUGAGUUUUCCCCUCAACCCACAGAAUGCAAUGAACAAUAAAAUAAAACACUGGUUUGCAGACA